rnacentral:rRNA from 1 species
GACGAACCGUGCGAACGUUAUUCGGAAUCACUGGGCUUAAAGGGCGCGUAGGCGGGCCGCCAAGUCAGGGGUGAAAGCCUCCGGCUCAACCGGAGAAGUGCCUUUGAUACUGGCGGCCUAGAGGGAGGUAGGGGCCUGCGGAACUUCCGGUGGAGCGGUGAAAUGCGUAGAUAUCGGAAGGAACGCCGGUGGCGAAAGCGGCGGGCUGGACCUCUUCUGACGCUGAGGCGCGAAAGCCAGGGGAGCAAACGGG